rnacentral:rRNA from 1 species
CCCCUAGACGUUCUGGGCUGCACGCGCGCUACAAUAAUACGCACAGCGAGUAUCACCGAGCUCGAAAGGGCAAGGUAAACAAUAGAAAAGGUACUGUAAUGGUUAUAGAUCCUUGUAAUUAUUGAUCUUCAACGAGGAAUUCCUAGUAAGUAUGUGUCAUCAUCACGCACUGAUUACGUCCCUGCCCUUUGUACACACCGCCCGUCGCUCCUACCGAUUGGGUGAGCCGAUGAAACUCUCGGAUGUAGGCUAUUCAUAGCCCGCAGAAGAGAUUUGAAUCGUAGCGUUUAGAGGAAGGAGAAGUCGUAACA